UUGAGUCGGAUAAGUAUAACAGAUACAACAAAAAUAAAAUUUUCACAUAUUCAUAAAAAAGGUUAAAGACUAUUAUUACCUUCAACCAUGUUGAAUGAUUCAUUUUAACCUUGUGUUACUUUUUCUUUUUUCUUUUUAUUUUUUACUUUUGUUUUUAUCAUGACAUUGAACUAUAAAAAAGAAGCAAGAUUUUGAAAAUAGAUAAUGUAUGAAGUGGUUAUGAAAAGAUAGGACGGUAAUUUGGUCAAUAUUCUUUCUCUUCUUUUUUUUCUUUUCUCUCCUCUAUCUUAUCCAAACAAAAAUAACUAUCAUUUCUUUUCUUUUCUCCUCUAUCUAUCCAAACACGAAUAGAAAUUAUUACUAUCAUUUAUUUUAUUUUCUUUUCUCCCCUAACUAAUACUAUCAUAUAUUUUCUUUUUUCUGCUAUUUAUCCACAAACACACCCUUAAAAAAAACACGGGAGUAAGAUAUCUCGUUUAUAACAUUACCCACAUCUCCUCAGCUGCACCAAGUGUUCUCUCUCUUCAAGGCUUGAAGCUCUCUCACUCUGACAGAUUUCUUUGCAAAAGUCUCUCUUCAAGCUAUCUCUCUCAGUUUCUUGCGCUUCUCUUAGGCAAAAAAGCACAAAUGAGAGCCCUUAGAACUGAUCUGAAGAAUGAAAUGUGGGCAUCAUUCCGAAGCAAUGCUAAAUGAAGUUACUUUUAUAAUUUUUUGCUUUGAUUAGCUAUUUGUAUAAUUCUCUAAUAUUUUGUUUUGGUUAUGUAUGACUAAAAUUAAUGUUUGUAUAACUAAAAGUGCAUAUGACACUUGAAGUAAUUCCUGUAAUUCUUUUAUUGUAUAUAAAUUUAGUGAAAUUUUAAUUAAACUUGAUACA